rnacentral:lncRNA from 1 species
GAAGAAAGGACAGGGAGGGAAGUCCCUUCAGGGGCGGGUGAGUUCCCAGACUUCUACCUCAGAAAGGUAGGUGCUUUCUGGGAAAUGUCUCUGUUGCUGGAGUCCCAGAGCCCUAUCCCCUGUCCAUGGGAAAAUGAGGGUGUUUCUGCUCAGGGCAGAGCUUCUGUGAUGCUUGCAGUCAGGUCCCUGAGCACAGUCUCUUAAGAAUGUGUUCUGAAAGGCCAUCUCUUUCCCAGGGUACAGCUGUGUUCUGGUACAACCUCUUGCGGAGCGGGGAAGGUGACUACCGAACAAGACAUGCUGCCUGCCCUGUGCUUGUGGGCUGCAAGUGGGUCUCCAAUAAGUGGUUCCAUGAACGAGGACAGGAGUUCUUGAGACCUUGUGGAUCAACAGAAGUUGACUGACAUCCUUUUCUGUCCUUCCCCUUCCUGGUCCUUCAGCCCAUGUCAACGUGACAGACACCUUUGUAUGUUCCUUUGUAUGUUCCUAUCAGGCUGAUUUUUGGAGAAAUGAAUGUUUGUCUGGAGCAGAGGGAGACCAUACUAGGGCGACUCCUGUGUGACUGAAGUCCCAGCCCUUCCAUUCAGCCUGUGCCAUCCCUGGCCCCAAGGCUAGGAUCAAAGUGGCUGCAGCAGAGUUAGCUGUCUAGCGCCUAGCAAGGUGCCUUUGUACCUCAGGUGUUUUAGGUGUGAGAUGUUUCAGUGAACCAAAGUUCUGAUACCUUGUUUACAUGUUUGUUUUUA